rnacentral:rRNA from 1 species
AGCGAACGCUGGCGGCAGGCCUAACACAUGCAAGUCGAGCGCCCGUAGCAAUACGGGAGCGGCAGACGGGAGAGUAACACGUGGGAACGUACCCUUCAGUUCGGAACAACCCAGGGAAACUUGGGCUAAUACCGAAUACGUCCGUAAGGAGAAAGAUUUAUCGCUGAGGGAUCGGCCCGCGUCUGAUCAGCUAGUUGGUGAGGUAACGGCUCACCAAGGCGACGAUCAGUAGCUGGCUGAGAGGAUGAUCAGCCUCACUGGGACUGAGACACGGCCCAGACUCCUACGGGAGGCAGCAGUGGGAAUAUUGGACAAUGGGCGCAAGCCUGAUCCAGCCAUGCCGCGUGGAUGAUGAAGGCCCUAGGGUUGUAAAGUCCUUUCGACGGGGAAGAUAAUGACGGUACCCGUAGAAGAAGCCCCGGCUAACUCUGUGCCAGCAGCCGCUGU